rnacentral:rRNA from 1 species
CCUACGGGAGGCAGCAGUAGGGAAUCUUCCACAAUGGGCGAAAGCCUGAUGGAGCAACGCCGCGUGGGUGAAGAAGGUCUUCGGAUCGUAAAACUCUGUUGUUAGAGAAGAAAGUGCGUGAGAGUAACUGUUCACGUUUCGACGGUAUCUAACCGGAAAGCCACGGCUAACUACGUGCCAGCAGCCGCGGUAAUACGUAGGUGGCAAGCGUUAUCCGGAUUUAUUGGGUGUAAAGGGAACGCAGGCGGUCUUUUAAGUCUGAUGUGAAAGCCUUCGGCUUAACCGGAGUAGUGCAUUGGAAACUGGGAGACUUGAGUGCAGAAGAGGAGAGUGGAACUCCAUGUGUAGCGGUGAAAUGCGUAGAUAUAUGGAAGAACACCAGUGGCGAAAGCGGCUCUCUGGUCUGUAACUGACGCUGAGGUUCGAAAGCGUGGGUAGCAAACAGGAUUAGAUACCCUAGUAGUC